rnacentral:sRNA from 1 species
ACCCCGCAGCGAGACCUGAACUCUCCUUCUGUCUUCUGUCUCCUUCAUCUGUUCUCUGAAGACACUAACAACACUUCUGUCUUUUGGAAACUUCCAGCUGGUCAAAGAGAUUGCCGAUGAAGACCCCAGCCACGUGAACUUGGUCAAUGGGGACGGGGCGACGCCACUGAUGCUAGCAGCUGUUACGGGGCAGCUGGCUCUGGUGCAGCUGCUGGUGGAGAGGCAUGCGGAUGUUGACAAGCAGGACAGCGUGCAUGGCUGGACGGCCCUCAUGCAGGCAACCUACCAUGGGUCAGUGCCAGCUCCACGCCCUCAGCGACAAGGCCAGACAGAUGCUCUGGCCUGAGAUGGAGGUUCCCAAUGGGCUCUUCUGGUCCUGAGAUGCUGCAUACAAACCCCAGGACUAUGACGACAUUGAGGCAUGAAAAAAAAAAGCGGCACAGGCUCAUUUUAUUCCCACCCUUCUGUGUCCAGAUUUCCUGUUCCCCCAUCACAGAAUUUCACAAUGGCCCUGAAAAACCAUGCAGCAGGAGCAUUUUAUGCAGAGAGAUAAGGUUCUCUAGGUUGGUUUCAGUUGAACACAGUGACUGAUUCAUUGGAGUUUUCACAUUGAGAUAUAGUGACCUCCUUAAGUAGCUCCUGUAUGAAGUAAACAUUGGUUAUUCAUA